GGACGAAUAAGUUAAUGGUAGACCCAGACAUUUCCAAUGUUUUUGUGCAGGUUCGAUUCCUGUUUCGUUCA